rnacentral:sRNA from 1 species
GCAGCCAGGGCAGGCCCUAACGGGACAGCCUGGACACUGCUAGCCGGUAGUGUGGUGAUACGGAAAAACACCGGCAGCC